AUGCACACUGGAUUAAUUGUAAUACAAAUAAUAUAUGCCAUUUAUCCAAAGCAUUUACGGUCUUCCGUACAUACAUUUCACGUAUGGGUAAUCCCGGGAAUUGAACCCACCUUCCUGGCGUUUCAAACCAUCUACCAACUGAGCAACAGAGGACUACAUUCUGCGGGUGAAACAUGGCUCUCGUGUCAUUCAUGAAAUAGACGGGGCGUGAGAUGUUCCCAAAUGCCGGAAGUGUGGCCUGAGUGAAAGAGUUUGGGAACCCCUGCUCUAAUGAGUAAGAUUUGUAUUACCUUAUGUCAAUUUAACAUGAAACUUAAAUAUACCCAGGAGUUUACAGGUGUUGGAUCUUAAUUUGACCUGUAUUGGCAUUUCAAAAUAAUCCUGCAGCAACAACAUUUGAAUGUUUAGUCCAUAAUGUUGCUUGGUCGGUGGUAAGAGUAUUAGCUGGACAAAAGUAGGUUACAUGAAAAGUACAAUACUGUUAAUAUAACUGUCUGAUAGUGCACGUUUUCAGUGAAUUUAUGUAAAACACGAAGCUC
rnacentral:lncRNA from 13 species